rnacentral:rRNA from 1 species
UACAGAGGUCUCAAGCGUUGUUCGGAAUCACUGGGCGUAAAGGGCGCGUAGGCGGCGCGACAAGUCAGGCGUGAAAGCCCCGGGCUCAACCCGGGAAUUGCGCUUGAUACUGUCGUGCUUGAGGCCGGGAGAGGAUGGCGGAAUUCCCAGUGUAGAGGUGAAAUUCGUAGAUAUUGGGAAGAACACCGGUGGCGAAGGCGGCCAUCUGGACCGGUUCUGACGCUGAGGCGGCGAAAGCGUGGGGAGCAACAGG